UGCUUAUUAGGCGGUGGUGAGGCGUGUUAGAGACAUGCGUCUGCCUGUGGGUGUACUGUCCGGCCACGGGAUUUAGGAUUAGCUCUAUAGGACCAACGUGAAGGCACAUCGUGCGGCGGAGGGUCGAAGCCCACGGAUUUCCAUGAGCUCGGCCUGGCUUCCUUCUUGGGAUUGUUCCUUUCUCGGAGAGAAUUGUAUAAAAGAGGGAGAAAUAACCCCACAUCUCUUGACACUAGAGCUCCAGGUCCCCCGACCAUGGGAAGCAGUCACGCUCUGGACAGUAAAGGUGAAGACAGCAACUUGUCAGAGCUUGGAGAGUCUCUAGAAUGAAGAAGGCCUGGAUCUUCUGUGUCUCCAGCUUAAGAAGACCAGAGAAUAAACACAAUUGCUGCUGCUCUCA
rnacentral:lncRNA from 1 species